UUUGGCCUGUUUGAUUGUUCGGCGCACGUUUCAUGUAUUCCUGUGACGCCCCGACUUUUCCUAUUUCUUUUAAGUUAGUUUUUGGAUGACAGUCAAACUUUUAGUUGAAUAUCUUUUAUUUAUUUUGAAGAGUUUAUGGUGUAUUUUUUUAAGCACCCAGCCCAAUUUUUCUUUUUUUUCUGUGAAACUACUUUUGGAGAACCCAAUAUUAGACCAACCGUGGAUACGUACAAAUCUGCUCAAAUCUUCCAUUCUAAUGUUUCCCCUGAGAAUUAGGAGACAUUCAGUAACAACUUAACCAUAUAUAAAUAUAACGAACCCCACACGUCUCCCACCUUUCUGAAACCUUGAAAAAAAUAUAGCGAAAGAACUGAGUCAGUGUAAGAGAGAGCCGAGAGUCCUUCAAAUUGUUUUCCUGCAACUCUUUGCAACAAAGUGUCUGCCCAAAAAAUGUUUGAAUCAAACAUAUUAGAAAAACUUAAUAGAAGAUUUAGAUUGGGGGAAAUGGAAAGAGAGAUCUCACCUGUCGUGAACGGAGAUUGGCCGCGGCGAAGGAGGCCGAGCGUGACAGGGGCAGCGGCGGCGAGGUCCAGUCGCACGCCGGCUAGCUGGGACGGCUGGAGCAGCGGAAACGGUGCGAAGGAGAGUCAGCGGCAGCGGUUGGUCUUCGACAGAGGGGCGUGAGACGGCUCCAAAUUCGUGAAAUGAGGGAGAUGGGUGUCGUUUUGUGUUGUUUCUGUUUGUGAGGGGUGGAAGAAUGGUGGAGAGUGAGAGAGCGUAAGUUUUAGAGAGUCAAAGAGUGUGAAGAUUUGAGAAAAAUGGCGAGGGAGAGAGACGGACUUUGCUAUAUUCCCAAUUUGGGAUAGUUGAGAGAGAGAUACAGUGGUGGCGGCUGGGAGUAUAUUUUAGUUCUCUUACAAGUUUUGGGCUUUAACUAGUUUUGGGCCUUUAGUUAAAUAAAUACGUGUAUGGCAGGGAGUAUAGCUUUAGCCUUUUUAAUUGCUUGGCCUUCUUUUUCUUUUGUUAAGUUUCAUUUAUGUUUUAAGCCACUUAAAUUUCAUGAGUUGGGCCUCUUAGAUUAAAUCAAUGGUUUGGAGGGUCCUGUUUAA